GUAAUUUUCUUCAGAAUAUGUCAUUUAUGGGCAGCUGAAGAGCAACAGUUACCAGGAAUUGAUUCCCACGUCACUUACAACUGAUAAAACCAGAUUAUUGACAAUUUAACUUCACCAGGUGCCAUGGAUGGUGUAAGUGAAUGGGGUUACCUGCAGCUCUCUCCAGCCUCUGAUCCAUCUCUUCUGGUACUACACCACUGAACUCAAGGGCAAGUCCACCAGUGGACUGUCAUAUCAGGUACUAUCUGACUUCUCUUUCAUCUCAAGCUUCUGUAUUAGACUUUGCAGUAGUGAGAUGCAAACUGAGCAACAAGCAGCAGAUUGCUGGCAGCCUGUGUCCGAGCAUCUUCUGGCCCAAUAUCAUUAGUUUAACAGAUAGUUUAUGAUUCUUAGACUCUUCUCAUAGGUUGACAUCAGAAAAUGCUGACAACCUAUUUGGGUCAGUUUGAUGGCAUUUUUGAGAAUUAGAACAGCUUCAUUAAGGAAUGAAUGACAGCAUUUUCAUGGUUACAAUAUUUAUUCAAUAUUUAUUCAAUGUCAUUUGAACCUCAGUGAGGCUCAAACGAAACUCUGUUUCUACAGCCAUACAAACAAAACAAUUCCUACAAGACACACAAACAAUUCAAUUCACACAAACAUCCAAUUCGCACAAACAUCCAUCACAGUGAAUCUCCUCCUCACUGUGAUGGAAGGCAAAGUCUUUUCUCUCCCCUGUGCACCAUUUUUCUCCCGAUGUUGAAGCCCCAGGCGGGCGAUGGUAAGCCCCACGGCCAUUAAGGCCGCGCCGGGCGAUGUACGGCCCCGUUCCAGGUCUAAAUUACUCAAAGUUGUAGCCCCCGGCGGGCGUUGGCAUGUCCCGCGGCCAUUAAAGCCGCGCCGGGCGAUGUACGGCCCUGCUCCGGGUUGUUCCAACCCCGUGACACUGGCUGGAGAAGGUGCGUUGCGGGAGCUCCGAAAAGCGGUCUCAUACCCGGACCCGUGAGCUCCCGAUAUCACAGUCCACCAGAGCCUCCGAGCUCCGGGUCGGGCCGCAGCAACGAGCCACCACCGCUCCCCACGCUCCGAAGCCGGCCGGCCCCACGAUGGUAAGUCUGCAGCCCCACAGGCUCCGCGACUGGAGCCCCCAGGGCGUUCCGGUUGGAGGCCGCUCCACGGUGCUAGGCCCCAACGACAACGGAGACCCGAUACGGAAAAGGUCGGGUCUCCCGUGCAGGGAAGAGAUUUUGAAAGUCCCCCCCCCGCUCCCCACAUAUACACAGUU